rnacentral:rRNA from 1 species
GGCGGACGGGUGAGUAAUGUCUGGGAAACUGCCCGAUGGAGGGGGAUAACUACUGGAAACGGUAGCUAAUACCGCAUAACGUCGCAAGACCAAAGAGGGGGACCUUCGGGCCUCUUGCCAUCGGAUGUGCCCAGAUGGGAUUAGCUAGUAGGUGGGGUAACGGCUCACCUAGGCGACGAUCCCUAGCCGGUCUGAGAGGAUGACCAGCCACACUGGAACUGAGACACGGUCCAG